rnacentral:rRNA from 1 species
UGGGGAAUCUUGGACAAUGGGCGCAAGCCUGAUCCAGCCAUGCCGCGUGAGUGAUGAAGGCCUUAGGGUUGUAAAGCUCUUUUGCCGGGGACGAUAAUGACGGUACCCGGAGAAUAAGUCCCGGCUAACUUCGUGCCAGCAGCCGCGGUAAUACGAAGGGGACUAGCGUUGUUCGGAAUCACUGGGCGUAAAGCGCACGUAGGCGGAUUUGUAAGUCAGGGGUGAAAUCCCGGGGCUCAACCUCGGAACUGCCUUUGAUACUGCGGAUCUCGAGUCCGAUAGAGGUGAGUGGAAUUCCUAGUGUAGAGGUGAAAUUCGUAGAUAUUAGGAAGAACACCAGUGGCGAAGGCGGCUAACUGGUCCGGUACUGACGCUGAGGUGCGAAAGCGUGGGGAGCAAACAGGAUUAGAUACCCUAGUAGUCCCCUGAGCGGGCUGGCAAGGCGCAU